AAAAAACCGUGGAGGGUCAUUGGAAACUGUUCCAACUUGAGUGCACAAAGGAAAGUGGAAUUCCAUGUGUAGCGGUGAAAUGCGCAGAGAUAUGGAGGAACACCAGUGGCGAAGGCGACUUUCUGGUCUGUAACUGACGCUGAUGUGCGAAAGCGUGGGGAUCAAACAGGAUUAGAUACCCUGGUAGUCCACGCCGUAAACGAUGAGUGCUAAGUGUUAGGGGGUUUCCGCCCCUUAGUGCUGCAGCUAACGCAUUAAGCACUCCGCCUGGGGAGUACGACCGCAAGGUUGAAACUCAAAGGAAUUGACGGGGACCCGCACAAGCGGUGGAGCAUGUGGUUUAAUUCAAAACAACGCGAAGAACCUUACCAAC
rnacentral:rRNA from 1 species